rnacentral:rRNA from 1 species
AUUGAACGCUGGCGGCACGCUUUACACAUGCAAGUCGAACGGUAACAGGGAGCUUGCCCCGCUGACGAGUGGCGAACGGGUGAGUAAUGCGUCGGAACGUGCCGAGUAGUGGGGGAUAACGCAUCGAAAGGUGUGCUAAUACCGCAUACGAACUGAGGUUGAAAGUGGGGGACCUUCGGGCCUCACGCUAUUCGAGCGGCCGACGUCUGAUUAGCUAGUUGGUGAGGUAAAGGCUCACCAAGGCGACGAUCAGUAGCGGGUCUGAGAGGAUGAUCCGCCACACUGGGACUGAGACACGGCCCAGACUCCUACGGGAGGCAGCAGUGGGGAAUUUUGGACAAUGGGCGCAAGCCUGAUCCAGCCAUGCCGCGUGUCUGAAGAAGGCCUUCGGGUUGUAAAGGACUUUUGUCCGGGAGCAAAUGCUGGUGGCUAACAUCCACCGGAGCUGAGAGUACCGGAAGAAUAAGCACCGGCUAACUACGUGCCAGCCGCCGCGGUAACAC